CAGUUCGGAUUGUAGGCUGCAACUCGCCUACAUGAAGUCGGAGUUGCUAGUAAUCGCGGAUCAGAAUGCCGCGGUGAAUGCGUUCCCGGGUCUUGUACACACCGCCCGUCACACCAUGGAAGUUGGGGCGCCCGAAGUUGCCUAAGAAAUAAGGUACCUAAGGCGAAACCAAUGACUGGGGUGAAGUCGUAACAAGGUAUC
rnacentral:rRNA from 1 species